CACGUAGGGCGCAAGCGUUGUCCGGAAUUAUUGGGCGUAAAGCGCGCGUAGGUGGCCAUUUAAGUCCGCUGUGAAAGUCAAAGGCUCAACCUUUGAAAGCCGGUGGAUACUGGAUGGCUAGAGUACGGAAGAGGCGAGUGGAAUUCCGCGUGUAGCAGUGAAAUGCGUAGAUAUGCGGAGGAACACCGAUGGCGAAGGCAAUCCCCUGGACCUGUACUGACGCUCAUGCACGAAAGCGUGGGGGAGCAAACAGG
rnacentral:rRNA from 1 species